rnacentral:lncRNA from 1 species
GCCGCGCCUGAAGCUCAACUUCCGAGGCUCUCAUCAAUCUACGCUUCCUUUGGAGCGUGCAGCCACCAGGUGGCAGCCGAGGCCACGGGCAGACAGAAAAGCUCCCGAAACUGAAGGACUGCCAGGCAGCAGAGUUCCGGAGGGCUCCCAGGACCUUCAACCAGAAAGAGACAGAGCAUAUGCGCAUAUCCCUGCAAGGAAUGUACUAUAGAGCCAAUUUUACCGGCAAAGGAAUGGAAGAUCUGAAAGGCUAGGCGAUCCCACAAGCAUCGAGGAGCAGGCUGGAAUUUGAACCAAUCGGCAUGAUUCCCAAGCUCAAGCUUUUGGCCACCCCUGCACUGCCAGGGACAAAAAAAAAAAAAAAAAAAAACCCUGGGAGGAGAGCCAAGCUAGGGAGUCAAGACCCUCCAGCCAGGUCUGGAUGGGAGGCAGGUGCCUCCACCCUGGUCCCAGAGCAAGUUCUGCUGGCUUCAGCCACC